UACGUAGGGUGCAAGCGUUGUCCGGAAUUAUUGGGCGUAAAGAGCUCGUAGGCGGUCUGUCGCGUCUGCUGUGAAAACUCAGGGCUUAACCCUGAGCUUGCAGUGGGUACGGGCAGACUAGAGUGCGGUAGGGGAGACUGGAAUUCCUGGUGUAGCGGUGAAAUGCGCAGAUAUCAGGAGGAACACCGGUGGCGAAGGCGGGGUCUCUGGGCCGUAACUGACGCUGGAGGAGCGGAAAAGCAUGGGGGAGCGAAACGGG
rnacentral:rRNA from 1 species